CGAACGGGUGAGUAAUGCGUGACCAACCUGCCCCAUGCUCCAGAAUAGCUCUUGGAAACGGGUGGUAAUGCUGGAUGCUCCAACUUGACGCAUGUCUUGUUGGGAAAGNGUUUAGUGGCAUGGGAUGGGGUCGCGUCCUAUCAGCUUGUAGGCGGGGUAAUGGCCCACCUAGGCUUCGACGGGUAGCCGGCCUGAGAGGGCGGACGGCCACAUUGGGACUGAGAUACGGCCCAGACUCCUACGGGAGGCAGCAGGG
rnacentral:rRNA from 1 species